AAAAGGGAGAGAAUAAAGAAUAGUAGAGAACUACAUCACCAUCACCAUAGGAUGCUGGGAAGAGCAGAAAUCUGAAGAUCUAGCUAUAGGCGAUAAAUGAAGAGUUUUGCGGGAGGCAACUCAAAUUACAACAUAUGCAUAGUCUAGACUGUCCUCUAGAUGAGUUACCUCUUGUUUGUAUCUACUUAUAACUGUUCAUUCAUGUUCAC
rnacentral:lncRNA from 1 species